GGGAAGAAGACAGAAAAGAAGCUGAAAUAGCAUUGCAGAUCUUAGAAGGGAUCAGCAGUAACAGUUCAACGAAUGGAUCAGACUCAGAGCAUCUUCUGGAAGCUGUAGCGGCUAAAGUUUGACAGAGUGGUCAUGACGAAAAAAAUGAGGGAUCAUUUUCCAAAUCGUUAUGGUCUCCAAUGGUUUCAGGAAGAGUUUCAGUAGCUUCCAGCUCUAGCCCUUCUAAGUUCACUGCUCAAUCAGUGGGUUAUUCAAUUGAUCAGCCCUAUCAUAGGGAAGGACCAGGCUUAAGUUAAUCAGACAGAAGUCUUGCUAAGUCUUCCACAAGUAUUUCCUCUUCUUGUCAAACUUCACGUGGCAAGCUCUUAGACAGGUCAUCGGAGCUUGCGAAAAACAGCAAAAGAGGGCUAGACCUGGGGAAAAUCUUACGCCCAGGCCUAGGGACAGACAACUGAUUCAAGAUUUUCUAAAGGAACUAAGAGAGUUGGUGCCCAGUGGGUCAAAGGCAAGUUCAAAUUGUAGUAUCGAUGCACUGUUGGAGCACAUAAUCAAGCAUAUGCUUUUUGUACAGAGCAUCACUAAGGACGCUGACAAGCUAGACAAGUGCGCCGAAUUGAUGCUCCAUCACAAUGAACCAGAUGUACGGGGAACCUCCAAUAAUGAACCAGGAUCGAGCAGGACUGUGGAGGUGGGCAUCGAUCUCAAGGUUUACUCAAUCAUGGUCGAGAAUCUUUGAAAGAAGCCAUCUGCUUUUAGAGAUGUCGUGUGAAGAGUGCAGUCAUUAUCUUGAGAUAGCAGAAACAAUUAGAAGCUUGGGUCUGACAAUCUUAAGAGGUGUUGCCUAAGCAUAAGGGGCAAAAUAACAAUAAGCAUCCACAGAAUGGAUGUCUUGGGGUCACUUGCAAAUAUUGCAAACCAAGACUUCAGCUUGAAACACAACUUGCAGCCCUUGGCCUUAAUCCAGUAGAUACUCUGUAAUAUGUGCAUGUAAGUCAUCCGUGACAUGGAUUGGUCCAAUUCUAGUUUGACCUUUGUGUUUUGUUUCUCCUUGGCAUUGGGGAGGAAUCCUUGUUUUCCUGGUGAGUUCAUUUGUGAAGAUGAGUGUUGACCCUGUUACAACAAUGAGCUAACGUGAAUGGGGUUUAAGUUUCAA